AGGAAAGUGAAUUGUCUCUGGUCUUUUUUUAAACAAGCUUAGGAAGCACACGGGGACAUUUGAUGGUUUCAUUAUUAAGCAAAUCCAAUUUGAAGACUUCUGCCCAGAUCGCAACAUCAAGGGAUAAAACCUUUCUGCUUCUCAAAUGUCUAUAAAGAAAAGUAACCGCCUUAGCAAGGAACAAUAGAAAAAACCCGCACAAUUUGAGGUCUCAGAAGGUCAAGCCCAGGCUCAGUGGCUCACCGUCUCAGGAAGACCUGUUGCCUGUAGAUCCAGAUGAAGAACUGCCAGCUCCUUCUCCAGCACCAUGUCUGCCAGCAUGCUGCCAUGCUUCCUGUCGUG
rnacentral:lncRNA from 1 species